rnacentral:rRNA from 1 species
UAAAAAUUUAUUUAUUUUAGGUAGUAACAGAUUUCUUGAAACCUAAAGAAUUUGGCGGUAUUUUAAAUAAUUAGAGGAACCUGUUAAUUAAAUGAUAAUCCACAACAUAUCUUACCUAAAUUAAGUUUGUAUACCGUUGUUUUUAGUUUAUAUUUAAAGAUUAUGAUCAAAAUUAAUUAAUUUUUAUAAAUCAAAUCAAGGUGCAGCAUAUUUGGGUUUUAAUGGGUUACAAUAUAUUUAUAUAUACGGAUAAAUUAUGAAAAUGCUUUUUGAAGGUGGAUUUAAAAGUAAUUUAAAAUUAAAAUGUUUAAAUGAAUAAAAAUUUAAAAUAUGU